AAUUUCAGUAUGGGUUGUUCUCUUGUCCUUUCUGUCUUGAUGUGGAGAUGCCGGUGUUGGACUGGAGUGGACAAGAGAAACAUGAUUAUCAACUCUAGUAACAGAGCUAUUCGCAACAUUUCCCUCCUAAGAUUGUAAGGCCGAGAACACAGCGUGGAGUCAUACUGGAAACCGAACUACUGUUUCUAAUAAUUGAGCAUUCACGAAGAGAGAAAGGAAUUUAUACUACAUUGUAUACUUCCUCUCUGGUGUUACCUGUAUUGAGACUACUGCUAAACCAUGCCACAUCAGUGAUCCCUCUCAAUAAGCCGAGAAAAGCCACGGAAUUAUGGACCAGUGAGCCUGACAUCAGUGGAGGAUGUGGCGGUCGUGUUAACCCAGCAGACACCCACUUCCAUAUCCCAAAACGCAGGCACCCUAAUCAGUAUGGAAUGUCAUUACGCAAAAGCUGAUGCUCGCUUGAACGUCUAUUGAUGUCAAUGGCUUCGUGGCCGCGAGCCUCAGAACCUUUUCUAUUCCUAUAUGAGAACAAUCACUCCCAAUUGAGUGGUGGACGGUUUCACCACCAGGCAAUCUGACAACACUCAGUCUUUUGGCCGAUGGGUGAAUCACACGGCCGUGUAAUACGGCGCCUGGCGUUUACACACACUGACUGAGCUGAAUGGAAGGGCUCAACAAAAAUAAAACCCUAAAUGAUUCAGAAUAUAUAUUGGCCUGACAGUUUCUCUAGACCUCUGUCACUA